AGUGUGGAGACACUGGUAUGGCAUACAGGUGAGAUGUAAGGGUACAUCAUCAUUGAAUGUGACUAACUCCAGAGCAUUCUGCUGUCGAGAAUAUCUCUGAUAAGAUAUAGGUAUAAGUGUCCCUUAGACCUGAGAUCGCCUCAGUGACUUGCAAGCAACUCACUGUGCUUUGGUACUGGACUAACUGAAUUUUUAAUUCAG
rnacentral:lncRNA from 1 species